UACAGAGGUCUCAAGCGUUGUUCGGAUUCAUUGGGCGUAAAGGGUGCGUAGGUGGCGCGGUAAGUCGGGUGUGAAAUUUCGGAGCUUAACUCCGAAACGGCAUUCGAUACUGCCGUGCUUGAGGACUGGAGAGGAGACUGGAAUUUACGGUGUAGCAGUGAAAUGCGUAGAGAUCGUAAGGAAGACCAGUGGCGAAGGCGGGUCUCUGGACAGUUCCUGACACUGAGGCACGAAGGCCAGGGGAGCAAACGGG
rnacentral:rRNA from 1 species